CCUACGGGAGGCAGCAGUGGGGAAUAUUGCGCAAUGGUCGAAAGCCUGACGCAGCGACGCCGCGUGAGGGAUGAAGGUCUUCGGAUCGUAAACCUCUGUCAGCAGGGAAGAACGGUCACUGUGCUAAUCAGCAGUGAAUUGACGGUACCUGCAAAGGAAGCACCGGCUAACUCCGUGCCAGCAGCCGCGGUAAUACGGAGGGUGCGAGCGUUAAUCGGAAUUACUGGGCGUAAAGCGCUCGUAGGCGGUAUGUCAAGUCAAGGGUGAAAUCCCCGCGCUCAACGUGGGAACUGCCUUUGAAACUGGCAAACUGGAGUGUGUGAGAGGAUAGUGGAAUUCCAGGUGUAGGAGUGAAAUGCGUAGAUAUCUGGAGGAACAUCAGUGGCGAAGGCGACUAUCUGGCACAUAACUGACGCUGAGGAGCGAAAGCGUGGGUAGCAAACAGGAUUAGAUACCCGGGUAGUC
rnacentral:rRNA from 1 species